GUGGAGAUUUAGAUACAUAUAAUGUCGUAAACCACAUAAGCAUGAAGUAGUUGAUUCAAUAAGAUGGUGAAGUAACAAGCAGCAAAAGGUUGAUCAUGUUAAUGGUGUUUAUUCAAGGGUGCAGAGGAGAUUAUUAUUAUUACAGACAACAAAUGAAAUAACGAAAAGUAGAAGUGGAAAGAAUUUGCGUUAAUGGUAAUAAAAUCAAAAAAAAGAAAUACUAACUAAAACUGUACUGAAUGUUCACAAAACUAACUAAAAUUAACUGGAUUUAUAGCAAAAUGUGUUUGGUUGCAUUGAUGUGUGCGUGCCCUGCUAUAGUGAAAUUAAGGUAGUACGUUAGUCGAGUUGUCUGUGUUGCUGCUCCGUCCACGCGCAGAAUCAGGUCAGGAAAAGUCGGGAGACAGCGCCAGAAUAGAAUUGAGGAUGAUUUUAAUAUGAUUGUUUUGUAGACAUAACAAGAGUCUUGUAGUGGAGAGGGACGUAAUGUCCUCCUGAGACCCAGAGAAUAAGAAAAAACAGGGAGAAAUUAUUUUCGUUUUUUCUUUUUUUUCUUUUUUUCUUUUUUUUCUUUUUUCUUUUAAAUGAAUCAAGUGUUAUUAAAAUAACAAUCUCAUAAGAUGAAGAUCAGGGACCAACCCAGAAGUCACUGACACUUCACUAACUGUAAACUAUUGGUUUAGGAAUAAGUGAUGGCACUGAACUUUCUAUUUCACAAAAGUCAAUUUAUUUAGGAGAUCUGAGGAAGUACUGAUUUUAUUUGGAGACACAAAGGAACAUUUGGCACUUCCCUCAUCUCACAUCUGUUUCAUUGUUGUACCCAAUCAUUCUACAACUGAAAUGCCUUGGACUGCUAACCAUUUCAGGCAAGUGGAGUGAACCAUAUUUUGCUAGACUCUCAUCAGAUUGGGGCUUCCUUUUAUUGAUCUUUGGAGAGAAGUCUUCAUUACUGGUAUUAUUCAGGUCUUGUUCACAUGUUUGUCCCAGGUUUCUCAGCCAAGAGGAGCUUAAACUCCAGAUACUGUGAGUUCUUUUCACACGUUGAGAUCACUGAUAACUCUCAGCAACGACGUGAUCUCGUAGAAACAAUUAGGUGUUAUGGAUUUAACUAUAAUUGCGACUCUUAUUUUUUACUUUACUGGAAAACAUUUCUGCAUUUUACCCAUAUUUUAUUUUUAACUCAAAAUCAAAAUUCCAGAUUCUACUACAGGUUGGUUUUGCACCAGAUAGGACGACAGAUUUCAGGUGGCCCUGUGUCUUUCUCUAUUACAUCUGCCACUGCAUCUCGAUAAUCUUUGUGUGGCUUUUAGUGGGUCCUGACCCUCUCAUAUUUUGAAAAAUCUAUGUUUGAAUCUCCCUUAAUAAUUGUGUUAAGAAUUCUCUCCGCCUUUGUCAAAAGUUGGGUAUUAGGAAAAAGUGAAAUAAAUAUAAAUAUAAAGUCCCAAUGUGUAGAGCACACAUUAAUAAAUUAGUCAUGUUCCCUGUGAAAGUAAAUGAGCCUAAUUCUUAAAGACCCCUGAAAUUAUUUACCAGAUGUUUAUUUUUUGAAUAAAAUAAAAAUCUGAGUUUAACAAAACAUUUUAAUUGUAAAUAUCAACCUUACCUUUCUUUCUUCCAUAAAAUGUGCUUGUGGGCACGCCAGCCAUUUUGAAAAGGUGGGAAAAACAAUUGGCAAGGCCACACCCCCACACAUGGGAUAUAAUUUUAAAGGUUCUGUUGUCCUCUCUAAGAAACAUCAGGACUUAGAGGAGUGGCAAGUAGAGUAUGAGAGCUACAAGCAAAAAACUAAAUGUGUACUACAGUGCGCAAAAAUGAAUUACUGGGUCAUCAGGGGGUCUUGAGGGACAUUUAUAAAACAAAAAAUCCCAUAAACUUUAAAAGUGCACUUGAAAAGCUCACACAAGAAGGUUAACCUAGCUUACCUAGAAGACCUCAUCAGGGGGAGCACACUCCCCCUCUGUUUAGAGCUCACCCACUUAACUCGC
ensembl:lncRNA